UACGGGAGGCAGCAGGGGGAAUAUUGCACAAUGGGCGAAAGCCUGAUGCAGCUAUGCCGCGUGUAUGAAGAAGGCCUUAGGGUUGUAAAGUACUUUCAUCGGGGAGGAAAAAACAAAACUAAUAAUUUUAUUUCUUGACGUUACCCGAAAAAGAAGCACCGGCUAACUCCGUGCCAGCAGCCGCGGUAAUACGGAGGGUGCUAGCGUUAAUCAGAAUUACUGGGCGUAAAGAGCACGUAGGUGGUUUUUUUAAAGUCAGAUGUGAAAUCCCUGGGCUUAACCUAGGAACUGCAUUUUGAAACUGAAAUACUAGAGUAUCGUAGAGGGAGGUAGAAUUCUAGGUGUAGCGGUGAAAUGCGUAGAUAUCUGGAGGAAUACCUGUGGCGAAAGCGGCCUCCUAAACGAAUACUGACACUGAGGGUGCGAAAGCGUGGGGAGCAAACAGGGAUUAGAUACC
rnacentral:rRNA from 1 species